AUUGAACGCUGGCGGCAUGCUUUACACAUGCAAGUCGAACGGUAACAGGGAGCUUGCUCCGCUGACGAGUGGCGAACGGGUGGGUAAUGCGUCGGAACGUGCCGAGUAGUGGGGGAUAACGCAUCGAAAGGUGUGCUAAUACCGCAUACGUACUGAGGUAGAAAGUGGGGGACCUUCGGGCCUCACGCUAUUCGAGCGGCCGACGUCUGAUUAGCUAGUUGGUGAGGUAAAGGCUCACCAAGGCGACGAUCAGUAGCGGGUCUGAGAGGAUGAUCCGCCACACCGGGACUGAGACACGGCCCAGACUCCUACGGGAGGCAGCAGUGGGGAAUUUUGGACAAUGGGCGCAAGCCUGAUCCAGCCAUGCCGCGUGUCUGAAGAAGGCCUUCGGGUUGUAAAGGACUUUUGUCCGGGAGCAAAUGCCUGGUGUUAAUAGCAUCGGGAGCUGAGAGUACCGGAAGAAUAAGCACCGGCUAACUACGUGCCAGCCGCCGCAGUAAAAC
rnacentral:rRNA from 1 species